rnacentral:misc_RNA from 1 species
UCGCGGCUUAUCACCGGCAGUCUUCCUAGAGUCCCCGCCAUUACGCGCUGGCAACUAAGAACAGGGGUUGCGCUCGUUGCGCCACUUAAGGCAACACCUCACGGCACGAGCUGACGACAGCCAUGCACCACCUGUGCGGGCCCCGUAGGGCGCCGUAUUUCUACGGAUUUCCAGUGCAUGUCAAGCCCUGGUAAGGUUCUUCGCGUCGCAUCGAAUUAAACCACAUGCUCCGCUGCUUGUGCGGGCCCCCGUCAAUUUCUUUGAGUUUUAGCCUUGCGGCCGUACUCCCCAGGCGGGAUGCUUAAAGCGUUAGCUACGGCACAGAGGGGGUCGACACCCCCCACACCUAGCAUCCACCGUUUAGGGCGUGGACUAC